rnacentral:tRNA from 1 species
GGGAUUGUGGCUCAGUGGUAGAGCACUUGCCUGGCAUGUGGGAGGCACUGGGUUUGAUUCUCAGCACCA